GAGAGGUGGUAAAGGAAUAGAAGGCCUUGUGCUACUGAACUGACAUGGCUUGGGACAGAAAGACAGACCGUAUGCAGGUCAGAGAAGAGAAGAGAGAGCUGUGGAUGGCAUGUAUUGGUAGGGUUGGCUCGGGCAACUGGGGCUCCCUCCAGUCUCCAUGCAGAACUGGGGGAGUUCCCCUACAGCCUGGGCCUGGCUGGGCGCUGGGUGGUGGAAGGAAAAAAGAGCUAGAGAGAUUGCCAUGGUGUGUGGAAACCAGCCCUGACUUGCAAGCCAAAAGCUCAGUAGUAACCAGGUUUAGCUUAGUGGAAGGCAGGCCUUGGGUAGGUAGGUAGGUAGGUCCUCCUUAAAAACGAACUGGCGUCUGUGUUCUACCCCUGGUGGUGGUGACUCUCCACAGCAAGCAAGAGGACGGGGUGCAGCAGACAGAAGGAAGGAGUCUGUGAACGGGUGACAGAGUUAGGAACACCGAGUUAAGAAGGGGCUCAGGAGGGGACGUUAGCAGUCUCUGUGAGCCCACCUUUGAUUAUUUCCCCAUGUAAGCCUUUGCACCUUCCCAAAUCAUGGCACUUCCUGAUCUCAUUACAGCUCCACCACACCACUGCACAGUCGGCCGAGGCCAGUGCUUUCCUUUUGACGAGGGAGGACUCAGGCAAUGCUCGUCAAGGUACGACGACACCUUACCAAACUCACUCUCAAGUUAGUGGUAGAAGUAGUACUAGGGUUCUGCAAUGGGUUGAACCCCCAUCCCCCCACAUUCGUGUCUACCCCAGUCUUAGAAUGGGCAUUCAUUUGCCGAUUAGUUAGUUAAGGAAUUGGAGAUGAGACCAUCCUGAGUCCCGGAAGUGUUCUUCCCUAGGAAGGAGACAACUUUGGCACAGAAGACAAAGGUUAGGAUACUCCUGCUACACACCAAGGAAUGCCGGGAGCUAGCCAGGAGCUAGAGAGAGCAGGAGGGCCUCUGCACCGCUGAAGCGGCGCAGCCCGGUUGGCAGCUUGGCUUCAGACCCGUUAGCCUCUAAAACCCCAAGACAUGAGCACAAGCCAUGGGUCUUCGCUUUUUCUUCUUGGAUCCGAGCGCUAUCCUGUAACUAGUUCCUCCACUAUGGCCGCCACCCCCUUCACUCUUCUGUCCCUUUUUCCAGACCCUUCCCUAUCAGUUAGGAGCCCAUUAAGAUAGGCACACAGAGAAGAGGGAUUGUAAGCAGAGGGCCACUGCAGGUGGCACUGGAGUCUGUUUAGACUCAAAGACUUCCCCUCUGGGCAGGAACUUUACAUCCUACAGGGAAAGGUGCCAGACGCAGUCAGUCUUGUUUUACCUGGACUGGAGCCAGGGAAUAGAUGACUACUUACUGAACAGCUCUCGUAAAAUAACAAUGGCCCUCUAUCUCAUUGUCAGAAUGUAUGCAGGGAGGAAACAUUAUCAGUAUUUUGCAAGUAAAUGCUGAGUUCAGAGCGAACUCCUGGGCCAAACUGGAACUCAAACUUAGGAGUAGGUACCCCUGAGGACCGAUGCUCUGAUACGCCUGGCCUGGGCCUGUCCUCAGCUCAGCAUAGCCCUUCUUAACUUGGGGCCAAGCUUGUGGCCUCUGGGAUGAGUAGAACCUGGUGUGAGCCUAACGUGGCUGCUACUGUAGGUCAAGCCAGUCUAUAACAGAAAAGGACAGCAGAGCAGAAGAGCAGCCCCACACUUUCUCCUGGAAUUGUAAAACUGGCCAGACUGAGGCUCUGUGGCUUGAAGCCUUCUAGUACUUUCUAUCUGGGCAGAAGGGGUGUUGUUCUUAACCAUGGGCAGAGGGGCUACCGAGAGGGAUGUGGCCUGAUCCAGCAGUCCAAGGGCCAGUCUUCGUAGCCCAUGGUCUGCAGGGCAACUUCUAGGCCAGAGGCACAACUGGAGGUCCCAGAAUAGGGUUAGAUGGGGUCUAUUUGAGCCCCCAAACCAAAGCCAGCGUGUGGAGGGAGCUGCAGCCGGCACCCUAUUACCACAUUGGCUUGGGGCUGCUCAGCAGACCUCGCCACCUCUAUAAAUAGCUAAGCGAUAAUAAGAACAAUUUCCUGGAUGAAAAUAAGACCUCCGGGUAGGAUGCGGGGAGGAGGGGAGGGAAGGAGAGGGGGUAGGGCGAGUAUUGUUCUUCUAUAUCCUUUCCUUUCCUUUUCUGAGGUGCUAACAAGGGACAUUUACAUAAGUUUGACUCAGCCAAGAACCCCUCCAAGGGAUGGACUCUGGGCUUGGUGGGGGGAGUGGGGCUCCGAGGGUGGGGGUGGGAGAGAGCUGGGAGGCCUAGCUCUAAUUAGGCCUGCUGACUGCUCUUCCUCCUCCCUAGCCCAGCGUGUUCCUCCGCCUCGGAAUGAUGAUUAAUGACAUAUUUACUGUGUCCAGGCGGGUGCUUUUCUGGGAAAUAAAAAUUCUGGUUCAAGUUGUUUGUUCCACCUAAUUAGAGAAAAAAAAAAAGGAAGAUGUGUUCAUUAAACAAAAAGGAAAAUGAGAAGAAGGCGAGUGUCCCAGGAGUGAACCACCCCUGUAGAAGGCCCGCUGUGAACCUGGCUCUGGCCCGAGGUUCUCAAAGACCCCAGCCAGAGCCUGGGCAGCAGCCCCUUGGAGAAGGGCUGUGUCUGUUGGUCCCUCAGGCAGAUCUGCUGACACAGCGGUGGAAUGGCAGGACAGGCGAGCCAGAGGCUCCAAGCCCACGGGGUGCAAGGUGGCUGAUGGUGCACCUUGGUGGCUCCUUUGGGAGUGCUUCCUGGCAAAGCUCCUUUUUUGCUCCCUUUCCCUUCGCACUGUUCCCUAAAUCCCAAAGAAAAAAAUGCACCUACAUGAUUAAGAUGUUUCUUUAGCCUCAUAGAACCCAGAAGUCUCGCGAUCUUUGGAUGUCACCAGAAUGGGUGUGGGUAAUAGCCUUCUUAUGCCGGUCCUGUGCAUCAGCUCUGGCAAAGUGAGUAAACCGCUAUGAGCUUUGCAUUGUAGGAAACUAAGAUGCAUGUCUAACGAUCCAGGAUGCCCAGGCUGGUUCCAAGAGCAGGACCCUGCUCAGUGCAUAGAGUUUUUGCCUAUUGUCCCAUCGUGUCUCCUUGCUGUCUCUGUAAAAACCCUUUCGUGUACCUGUGCUUCUUAAGAUGAUGCUCUGAGGAUGACAGUCUCCUCCAUCUUUUCAGGGCUGACCCUGGAUGACGUGUGAUUUCCUUCCCAACAACCAUUUUGAGUUCUGUAUUUUGAAUGGGGAGUAGAUGCAUUCAGGUCCCCCUUGCCCACUGUUCCCCUCCCUCAGCCCCCUUUGAACUUCUUUCUUCUUUUAUCGUUUGCUUUAUUCCUCUUUUGUAAGUCUUCUCUAUCACUUUUCUCACAUGCAAAUGAGGCCUUGAGACUUGGUGGCCUUGAAGGCAUCAUCCAAGUGGGACUGGUGUGCUGAUUAUCAGAGACCGGCUUCCUUGCCUCUUUCUUCCCUAUGGCCCUCACCUCUGCUCCUUCUCUUCUCCUCACAGAGUUAGACUCUGGGGACACAUCUCAGACACUGAGGCUUUUGCUAGCAUGCAAAUCAGCCCGGGAGCUGGGGCUGGGAAGUAGAUUUUAAUGGUGCCACUAAUUUCUUGACUCACUCACUACCUCUUUGGAGCUUGGCGGGCACUAACGUGGCAUCAGACUCUAGACCCAGGCUUAUCAAUAUGACUUUGAUGGCAACCCCUGAGCAUCUACAGUGAUCCAGCUCAUGUUGCUGUACCAACAGAGGUCAGGACUAUACAAUGUGUAGGCAUUGUGAACAGCAUUCCUGAAAAUCAACUGUCUGCAGAGACUGACUACAUUUUAGAAUGGUGGAGAGAUUCUAGCCCUCUGGAACAGCCACUCCUUGCCCACCUCUGUGUCAGGACUAAUAUCCUGUGACUAAUGGAUAAACUUUUAGAAUCUAUUCACUUAGCUCAUUACUAAUUUCCACCAACCCCAAAGCUCGGAAAGCAUCUUGGGCCUAUAGAAAAGCUUCCCCAUCUUACUGUACCCACCUCUUUGAUGUACCCGCCAAUGUAUUUUAAACUUGCCUUAAUUUAUGACUUUCUUUAUUUUGUGAAACUAUAAAAACUUCAUGAAACUGGUUUCAUGUUGUAAUAUGAAAUUGGGGGUAACCAAAAUUUAUGUUCCUGGCCCAUGGUGGCUCAAAAUAGCUUCAAAAUAAACCAUCUCUUAUUCCCUUUGAGAGGUAAGCUGUGGAUUUUGCAUUGACAGCGUCACGUGGCCAGGAAUGAAUGCGCAGGAGCAUAGUUUUCCAAGAGUGGAUUUCUAUCCCACCCCUGCGUACAUGUACCCACUUCUGCCUGUGGGUGUUCCCAGGCUUCUGCCCACUAACUGCGUCUAAGGAACUUUCUCACCGGCUCCAGUGACUAUGUGAGGCUCCCAGUGCCCAUCUGAACAGAACUGGCUCCGGUGCAGCUUCCUGUUUGUGCAGGCAACCUCACCACCUCACUGAGCUGCCCUGAGGUCCUUGAAUUGGCAUCUAUCGGACACUUGAGGAUCCAUAUAGGCCUCUUGCUAUCGGACUGAAUAGGAGUUGCAUGGAUAAUACAGGGAACUUGGAAAGAAUUACAUUUGCUGGGCAUGGGGGUGCAUGGGCAUACCUUGAAUCCUAGCACCGGGAAGGCAGAGGCAGGGGCACCUCUCAAGUUCAAGACCAGCCUGGUCUGCAAGCUGGGGAAACUGAGACAGAGAGAUUAAGCCAACAUUCUGACAUGACAGAAGUCUGGCCUACAGGACUCUAUGGCCUGCUGUGUGGACACUGCCACAGCAUCUGGAAAAUGCAGGUGGCCAGGUGUGAGGACCCAGAGGACCGGUGGUGGUCCCAACAGCUGUGCUUAGUGCAGAUUCGGUCUGCCAGCUCCCUCUGGAUGACCUUGGCCGCUGGGCUAUGUGUUUGCCUUUCCUGACAUCCUCACAGUGUGGCUCCACCUAGGAUGUGAGCGGACAACUUAUCUCCCAAGAGGAAGCAUUGUUCCUAGGAUGGAUUCAGGUCCAAGAGAAGCCAUUUGUUUGGGGAUCUGGCCCCAGGAACUGGGUGGUACGCCAAGCUUUGAUCAGCCGCCUUUGGCAGUAUAGUCAGUUUGGGACGGGAAGGAGCUGUCCUUACAAUAGGAAUGGCCUUUCUUCACAUCCUCUGCUGAUGGAAAAGACAUUUCUUCUCUUCUCAGGACCCACGGGGAGGGGCCAGCUGGGGAUCAGAACUAAGGAACAAGCAUGUGCUUUGAUGCUCUCUGAAACCCUGGGUCAGGGUCCUGAAAGAUUAUGCCCUAACCUCAGAGCCUGGAGGCUGCUUUGCCUGGGGUCCUGAUGUAGCCUCCGGUGGUGUUCUUGGAACCCACAGAGACCUGAGCCUGUUCUGGGGGAGGUCAGAAAGAAAACCUAGGUGACAAGAGACCUUGGCUACAGUCCUGGUGCUGCUAGAAGACACCUGAGCAGGACAGACACUUCCCUUCAAAGUCUCAGUUUUCUGUCUCUAGACAAAAGAGCUUGGGCCAAUGGCCCUCCAGAGGUCAGGUCUCCUUCAUCUUGAAGGCUCUGCAGGAUGUAAACCCCGCUUGGGACUGCAUAAAAGUCUCCCGGGGAGGCAUGUGGCACAGGUUAUUUCUGACUGUAUUCAUAGACAGUGAAGCCAACAGAUGAGGAAGCUACUGCCAUUGCAGAGAUGGUUUGUUAUUCAUAGUUCCCAGGAGGAGGCGCAUGGUCAGCCAUGCCACACCAGGAAGCUGGGAGUGGAGGGGGAUGAGUGUGAUGAACCUUCGCUGUGGUUAGUGGGGAAAGGGAUGGGUGAGGCAGGGUAGGGGCCGCACAGCUUUAGGAUUGGCUAGCUUGGGUAGCUUUAGUGGGCUCUGGGCUGUAGAGGGAUCUGAUGUUCCUGAUUCCUGGUCCUGGAGAUACUGUCUGGACUACAGGAGGGAGAAUAAAGGCCCGCAUGGGGCUGUGGACUCCGGA